rnacentral:rRNA from 1 species
UAGAGUUUGAUCCUGGCUCAGAUUGAACGCUGGCGGCAUGCCUUACACAUGCAAGUCGAACGGCAGCACGGGAGCAAUCCUGGUGGCGAGUGGCGAACGGGUGAGUAAUACAUCGGAACGUGCCCUGUAGUGGGGGAUAACUAGUCGAAAGACUAGCUAAUACCGCAUACGACCUGAGGGUGAAAGUGGGGGACCGCAAGGCCUCAUGCUAUAGGAGCGGCCGAUGUCUGAUUAGCUAGUUGGUGGGGUAAAGGCCUACCAAGGCGACGAUCAGUAGCUGGUCUGAGAGGACGAUCAGCCACACUGGGACUGAGACACGGCCCAGACUCCUACGGGAGGCAGCAGUGGGGAAUUUUGGACAAUGGGGGCAACCCUGAUCCAGCAAUGUCGCGUGUGUGAAGAAGGCCUUCGGGUUGUAUAGCACUUUUGUCCGGGAAGAAAUCGCACCUGAUAAUACCGGGUGUGGAUGACGGUACCGGAAGAAUAAGGACCGGCUAACUACGUGCCAGCAGCCGCGGUAAUACGUAGGGUCCAAGCGUUAAUCGGAAUUACUGGGCGUAAAGCGUGCGCAGGCGGUUGUGCAAGACCGAUGUGAAAUCCCCGGGCUUAACCUGGGAAUUGCAUUGGUGACUGCACGGCUAGAGUGUGUCAGAGGGGGGUAGAAUUCCACGUGUAGCAGUGAAAUGCGUAGAGAUGUGGAGGAAUACCGAUGGCGAAGGCAGCCCCCUGGGAUAACACUGACGCUCAUGCACGAAAGCGUGGGGAGCAAACAGGAUUAGAUACCCUGGUAGUCCACGCCCUAAACGAUGUCAACUAGUUGUUGGGGAUUCAUUUCCUUAGUAACGUAGCUAACGCGUGAAGUUGACCGCCUGGGGAGUACGGUCGCAAGAUUAAAACUCAAAGGAAUUGACGGGGACCCGCAUAAGCGGUGGAUGAUGUGGAUUAAUUCGAUGCAACGCGAAAAACCUUACCUACCCUUGACA